rnacentral:rRNA from 1 species
CCUACGGGAGGCAGCAGUGAGGAAUAUUGGUCAAUGGACGAGAGUCUGAACCAGCCAAGUAGCGUGAAGGAUGACUGCCCUAUGGGUUGUAAACUUCUUUUAUAAAGGAAUAAAACGAGGCACGUGUGCCUUUUUGCAUGUACUUUAUGAAUAAGGAUCGGCUAACUCCGUGCCAGCAGCCGCGGUAAUACGGAGGAUCCGAGCGUUAUCCGGAUUUAUUGGGUUUAAAGGGAGCGUAGAUGGGUUGUUAAGUCAGUUGUGAAAGUUUGCGGCUCAACCGUAAAAUUGCAAUUGAUACUGGAAGUCUUGAGUACAGUUGAGAUAGGCGGAAUUCGUGGUGUAGCGGUGAAAUGCUUAGAUAUCACGAAGAACCCCGAUUGCGAAGGCAGCUUACUAAACUGUGACUGACAUUGAUGCUCGAAAGUGUGGGUAUCAAACAGGAUUAGAUACCCUUGUAGUC